rnacentral:rRNA from 1 species
UGGGGAAUAUUGGGCAAUGGGGGAAACCCUGACCCAGCCAUGCCGCGUGUGUGAAGAAGGUCUUCGGAUUGUAAAGCACUUUAAGUUGGGAGGAAGGGCAGUUACUUAAUACGUGAUUGUUUUGACGUUACCGACAGAAUAAGCACCGGCUAACUCUGUGCCAGCAGCCGCGGUAAUACAGAGGGUGCAAGCGUUAAUCGGAAUUACUGGGCGUAAAGCGCGCGUAGGUGGUUUGUUAAGUUGGAUGUGAAAUCCCCGGGCUCAACCUGGGAACUGCAUUCAAAACUGACUGACUAGAGUGUGGUAGAGGGUGGUGGAAUUUCCUGUGUAGCGGUGAAAUGCGUAGAUAUAGGAAGGAACACCAGUGGCGAAGGCGACCACCUGGACCAACACUGACACUGAGGUGCGAAAGCGUGGGGAGCAAACAGGAUUAGAUACCC